ensembl:snRNA U6 U6 spliceosomal RNA
UCGCUUUGGCAGCACAUAUCCUAAAAUUGGAAUGACACAGAGAGAUUAGGAUGGCUCCUGCGCAAGGAUGACAUCCAUUCUUUUUUAACUGUUUGGUAGAGUU